AAAAACCUGACAGCUGAGACCCAAAAGAUGUGAAGAGCCCCUUCCAGACAGCAGAUGGUCAGAAGGAAUGUUCUUGGCAGGAGUACAAAGAGAGGUUUCUGAGACAGGAGCCAGAAUUUAAACCUGGGAGCUGUUGCUGCUAAUCAAAUCACAACUGAAAGAAAAAUCUACCACAGGUGCCAAAGCUCCAUGAUCUCUAUCAAAAGCUUCUCAUUUUCCAAGAUCAAUUUUUACUUCAAGAGGUGAUCCAUAGAUACUUCCAUGAAUAUUUAUAUUUAGAGAAUGAAGUAGGAGCAUUUGUAAAUCCUUAUACCCUUAAUUAAUGCCAGUCUUCAAGGUUGUGUUUCCCAGUGAUUGAUAAUAAAAAGGUUUCAGUA